GCAUCAGCUGCUCCAAAGAGUCCUACCUCAACCAAGUUCAGUGAGGAAUCAUGAAGCCAGGAAGCUUUCUGCUGUUCACUCUGCUACUUUUCUUUUUUUACUCCAACAUUGCUGCCCAAAAAAUCAAUUUAAAGGUGAGAGUAUUGUAAGAACUACCCAAGCAAAAUCUGCACCCUGGAGUAUCGAGCCCACUGUGGCUCUGAUGGAAAAACCUAUAGCAACAAAUGUCUCUUCUGCAAUGCAUAUAUUAAAAGUGGUAGAAAACUUCGGCUGAGAUAUCUUGGAAAAUGUGUGAAAUUUGAAGAUGCAGAAGAUUAAAGAACAUUCAUGAGAGUGUAUCCCACAAUCUUGACACCUUGUUCAUAAACAACCCCAUGAAAAUAUCUGUUCUUCCCUCUUCUUCUGCACUAUUGCUCUAUUAAAUGUCCUAAUCUGACUUAUCAAUAAAAA